rnacentral:lncRNA from 1 species
AAAGUAUAAAUAUUUUUUUCGACAUAUUUUUUAUUUAAUUAAAAAAUUUAUAUAUUUGUUAGAUAAAAGUGUGAUGAAAUGUCUAAAAUUGAAUAUUACAUUCAGUAUUCAAAUUAUUUUUUAGAAUAAAAUAAAUUGCUCAAUCAAUAAAAUAUAUUAUUCUAUCAAAUUAUGAGUAUUAAAAUUUUUAAAAAAAUUAAAAUUAAAAUUCUUUCUUACAAACACACUAAAAAAUUUUUAUACAAAUAGAUUAUAAUAGUGCAUAAACAAAGCCUUAAUAAAUUUGUUAUUGGGCUAAUCUCCUCGCCUCCGAGUAAACAAUGCAAUGUCAUCUCUUCCCUGCCUAUCCGGUUUUUGGGUUAACUUCAAAUACCACUCUUUAUGAUUUUUUACUUUCUUACUUUAGAAUUAUGUGAUUUAAAGUAUAUCAAGUUAGUGUCCUAUGAUUUAUUUUUUUUUCGUCAGUUUAUUCGUUAAUAUUUCGUUAAAUAAUAUACAAAAAAUUUCAGAUAUCUUAUUUAUAUUUAUCGAAUACUUACUUUAGUAUCUUUUUGUUUUAAUUUUGUCAUUGAUUUAACAAAAAAAAAUUAGUAGAAAUAAUAAUAAAAAAUAAAAAUAAACUAUGUGGUACUAAUUGAUAUAUUUUAAAUUAUAACAUACUAUAGUGUAAAAUCACGUGAGUGGUCUAGAAAGUUUUUCCUUGUUUUUUAAGU